UCUUUUUCUUCAUACUGAGGGUAUAUGUACUAGUUUUCUAAUGCUACAUAACAAAUUAUUACACACUUAGCAACUAAAAACAUCCAUUUAUUACAUCACAGUUCUCCAGGAUAGAAGUCUGAGCACAAAGCACCUGGGUUCUCUUUCAUGGUCUUGCAAAGUUGAAAUCAAGAUGUCAUCCAUGUUGUGGUUCUCACGCGGAGUUUGGGAUCCUCUUUCAAUGUUCACAGUGUGCUGAGGUCUGUCUUACAUCGUCUCACGAAAUCACCACUGCAACCCUGUAAGGCAGACUUUCCCCUUAUGAUAUCAAGAUGGCUCACCAGCAGCUCCAAACUCACAUCUCUGCCAGCAUGACAACUCUAGAGGAAAAAGUUCUUCUUUCUCCCAACCUCCAAAGGAAAGGAAGGAAAUUGAUAUGCCAAAAACCAUACAAAAGAUAAAUCCAGGAG
rnacentral:lncRNA from 1 species